GGCAACGGCCAUUCCACGAUGAAUACACUAGUUCUCGUCUGAUCACUAAAGUUAAGCAUCGUUGGGCGCGGUUAGUACUUGGAUGGGUGACCGCUUGGGAAUACCGCGUGCUGUUGCCU